rnacentral:misc_RNA from 1 species
GUGAAUCAUCAAAUCUUUGAACGCAUAUUGCACUCUCUGGUAUUCCGGAGAGUAUGCCUAUUUGAGGGUCAUUUUAAAUAAUAUAAAUGCCAAGUUUUCUCGGAAUUUAUAUUGGGUUGUCCAUUUUUUGUGGUCUUCUUGGAUCAAAGACAAGCUCAUUUUCUUUUGUUGCGUUAUACU